ensembl:snoRNA
GGAGUGUGCUCAGAGCAGGGGGCCGGAAGAAGUGGCUCCUCUGUUUCUAAGACACCCAACAAGGAUCUGGGUUAUUGUGACAAGGGGCAGUAAUCGCGUGGCCUGGCUGUACAUCAAGACCCUACUCGU